rnacentral:misc_RNA from 1 species
GAUGAAGAACGCAGUGAAAUGCGAUAAGUAGUGUGAAUUGCAGAAUUCAGUGAAUCAUCGAAUCUUUGAACGCACAUUGCGCCCCUUGGUAUCCCGAGGGGCAUGCCUGUUCGAGCGUCAUUUCACCACUCAAGCCUGUCUUGGUGUUGGGCGACGUCCUCUUUGGGGACGCGCCUCGAAACGCUCGGCGGCGUGGCACCGGCUUUAAGCGUAGCAGAAUCUUUCGCUUUGGAAGUCGGGGCCCCGUCUGCCGGAAGACCUGCUCGCAAGGUUGACCUCGGAUCAGGCAGGGAUACCCGCUGAACUUAAGCAUAUCAAUAAGCGGAGGA